CAGAUAAACAAGAACACUGACUUAUUCACAGCACUUUAGUAAGAAGCACUUAAUAAAUGCUGCCGUGCCUCACAGCUAACCUCUCUGCCUAAGAGAACACAGGUUGUAAAGAGGGCACAGGCUGGCCUCUUCAGCAGUAGUUUAUUGAACCAUUCAAGGUGCCACAGAGAUGACAUUGCAGAGGGCUGGGGACAGGGACCUGGGCCGAGCACAGAGGAUACACAGCCAGCUAACCACCAGAGAAGAGGGAAAGGAAACCUCUGCCGCAAGAUGACAGGAUGGAAGGGCUGUAGGACAUUAUACAGUUGGCCAAGCUGCGGGAAGGGCGACAGAAUUCAGCAGUGAAACCAUCAGGACCUGGGGUUUUCUUAGUUGAAAAUUACCUGCAUUCAUCAACAACAUCAAAUAUCUCUUCUCUCUAUCCAGACUAUCCUAUUUUUAAACAAGAAAAUAAAUUUUAUAAAGGAGUAGGGCUUAUUAGGGUAGAUUAAAAUGAAGAUCAGUGUAUGAAGAAUCCCUGAACAGACAAAACCAAUCAAGCUUCAUAAGUGACCUCAAUCUUGCUUGUCUUGCAAAUAUAAUUGAUUUGAACUAUUUCUUGUCAAUGUUUACAUUAAAGAAAAACAGAACUUAGGCUCAACCAAUCAGAAGUAACCAGCAACCUAUAUAACUAGAAACUUUCUAAUGGAAUAAAACAACUAAGACAAUCAUAUAACUAUAACCAAUCAAAUAUUUUGUCUUAGUUCCCUAUUUAUCCUAUGAAAGGAUCUCCUUUGCAUUCUCCUACUUGCACUCCUAAACCAUUUCUGAUUUGGCACUUGCUGCUCAAUUUAUAAACUUCAGUUUGCUCACAUUUUACUGUGACUCAGUUUGCUUUUUAACAGGUACAUGGUAAGCUCAGAGAAAAUUCUUCUAAACAAUGUUCUUAAUUUCAUUUCUUGUUUUUGUUGAAAUGUCAAGAAUAUUAUUUUCAAAGAUGCUGUUUUUUGCUUCCAUUCAGAGUAUCUUUGGAAAAAUUUAUGUAAAACAAAACAUUUCAAGUAGUGGUAUGGCUUAGAAAUGGCUUGUCUCCCAGGGGGUCAUGGAGUGGAAGCUUCAUCCUCAGUGUGGUGGUGUUUGGGGAGGGAAGGGUCCUUUAAGCAGUAGGGCUUAGUGGGAGGUUAACAGGGCAUGGGAACAUCACCCUUGGAAGAGAUUAGUGCAGUUGGCAUGGGAUCAUAGUUAGUUUCUGCAAGAGUGGGUAGUUACAAAAAAAAGAGGUCUGACCAUAAAGCUCCCUGGCUUGCUGUUUCACAAUAUGAUCUCUCCCUUCCACUCAGUCCCACCAUGAUGCCCUUUACUAUAUUGUAAUGCAGUCAAGAGCUCCCUCAUAUGAGGCCAAACUGAUACAGCCACCCAAUCCUGAGCUUCUAAUCUCCAAACUAUGAACUAAAUAGGCCUCUUUACUUUAUACAUUACCCAGCCUUGCAUGUUUUGUUAUAGUAACAGAAAAACUACCUAAUAUAAAUGGUUUUCUCUAUUUUUGAUUCUUUAGAUGCUGCAAAAUUGAAAGCCUUCUCAACUCUGGUAGAGAUUAAAAGUUUAUUCAAUUAGAAAUAGUUCGAUCAAAAUUAGUUUCUUCGGUCAAUUUUUAUUUGUAUAUUUUAGUUUUGUUGUAUGGAUAAUGAACUCACUGUGUAUUGCAUUCAUAUAUGAACUUGUAUAUAUAAUUAUACUAUGAUUUUCUUUUUGUGAAAUAUGUCUGUGUAUCAUAGAUUUUUUAGUGAUUUUUAGUGAAGUUCAGAAAUGAAAGAAUUAGCUAAGGGUAAAUGUUUGAUUUUCUGAUACACGAUCAUAAUGAUCAAGGAAUUAUCCUACUUUUUGGUAUACAUUUUUAAAGAAAUUAUUGAAAAAGACUAAUUAGAAAUUAUGGAUAACUUUAUUCAUUAUUAUAUAAAGAUAUUAUAAACUAUUAUUAUAUUGGAAAUAAUUAUUUACUUGGAGUACAAAGAUGUAAACUUGAAUCUUUGCAAUAUGAUUAAAUAAUUUUGAAAGUUUUUAAAAAAUUAGUUUCUUGCCCCAAGCUAAGGUAUUAAGCACAAAUUACAGAAAUUCAAAUUAAUUUUAGACAGAUUUGUGCAAUCAUUUAAUUUAAUUUUUAAUUCUUCCCUUGCCUUUUUUUUUUGUUAUUAUUAUUAAGAGACUGGGAAUUAAACCCAGAACCUUCACAGUGAGCUAAUACACAGCCAUUUUUUUCAAUUUAUUGUUGUGAGACAAGGCUUUGCUAAGUCACUAAGUAACCUAGGCUGGUUUCAAACUUGCAAUCUUCCUGUCUUCCAGAUUGCUGGGUUGACAGGUGUGCAUUACCAUGCCUGGCUUUCCUCUUGCUUUUUUAAAUCCAAAAAGAUUUUUCCAAUUUCCAAGCUUUGUUUUAAUAAUUGCAAUUUACUUAAAAUAUUAAAAGCUAAAAUUUUGUUGCUCUAUGAAUUGAAUAUGUUACUUAAAGAUUUCUAACCAAAGGAUUUGGUGAGAGUAUGGAGAAAAGUUAACCCCAUAUAAUGUUGGUGAGUGUGUAAAUUAGUAUAGUCAUUAUGGAACAAAAUAUAGAGCUUCUCAAAACACUAAAAAUAGAAUUGCUAUAUUGCAAAGCAAUCUCACUCAUGGGUGCAAAGUAAUAACAAUAAACUUCAAUGAUCUAUUGCAUACAACAGUAACUAUGAUGAAUAGCAAUUCAUCGUAUAUUACAAGAUUGCUAAAAUUAUAGAUUUUAAAUGUUUUUACCACAAAAAUGUUAAGUACAUGAGGUAAACUAUCUUGAUUUAAUCAUUCCACAAAGUAAACAUAUAUCAAAACAUCACAUGUACCUCAUAAAUAUAUACAAUUAGUUUUUUAAUUACAAAUAAAAUUUUAAAAUAACUCCAACCAUUGUGAAAAAUAUCAUGACCUUAAUUUAAAGUACUAAUUCAUGAACUCACUUUGAUUGCAGGACACACAGAAAUUUACAAAGUAGGUUUUAGCUCUCAAACUUUCUUAAACUAUGACUAAUUUGGGGCAAUUUCCACAGAGGGAAUUUUCACAUCAUCAAACUGAAGUGCUGUGCUCUAUUUAAUGUUAGAUAUGUCAUUGAUAUUUUAUAGCUUGAUAUUCCUCAUGCAAGAUACUUAUAUACAAGGACAACUACACUGUCUUGUGUAAUAAGAAAAAUAUCUCACCUUUUUUGAUCAGAAUUAUACACUAUGUAUUUACUACCAUCUAAAACAAAUAUUAAGUAUAUUUUCUGCUCCACACAUUUCUUAAUCUAGUAAUCUAGUAAGAACAGUGUUUACUAUGCUAUCAUGCUUCACUAUAAUUUGUAUUCCCGUUAUCAUGACAAAAAUGAUUUUAUCUUUAAUGCUGAACUUUUAAACUGAAUUUAUAAAGCUCUCAACAAAAAGGCAUACUUUUAACCUUCAACAGAAUAAUCUUACAAGUGCUCUCCUUAGAUUUCAUGAAAUAGAUGGAAUAAAUCAAAUCUUGCCAGAAAUAAUUGAUUUUUAUUAUGAAGCAUCUUGUAACAGAGACAAACUAGCUUCAUUUAAUUCCUGCAAAGUUCUUCUGCAGAUGGAGCCAACACAUUAACAGCUUUUGUUUCACAUUUCUAUAUUUAUGUUUUUAAAGAUUUAAAAUUGAUAACACAUGAAAUACACUUAGAGCACUCAUUUGAUCUGAAUGGUGAGUCUUGCUGUGCAGGGUGCUAUGCACACACAACCCCUGCAGCUGCACAUAUUUAUUUCCUUCAUCAAAUAACUACUUACUGGUGCAUCUGCUCAAUGAGAUGGUUCUUCUGGUACUUAGGUGGUCAGAGAGACUAGAGCCAUCAUGAGCAAGGAAAAAGCAGUAACACAACUUAAAUGUUACUCAUCCCCAUUAGCUUCUAUAUUCAUUAAUUCAUUUUUCCUUAAGCAUGAAUUUUCAUUUUAUAUCUCAUUACCACCAAAAAAUUUACUGGAACAUAAAAAGCAUGGCUAUUAUAAUUGUACAUUGGCACUAUAUGGUAAAUAUGGGACAAAGUCACUCAGGCUUCUUAGUGCUGCUCAGCUUCUGUCCUGACUGUAUUUUACAUAGACUUGCUCUGACAUUUAUCAUACUUCCCAUCGACCCCACCUAAUGAUGGCCUAAUGACUUCAGUGGCACUCGGACUUCAGCAAAACCCCUGGAUACAUCAGAUAGUCUCCAAGAAAGUAACGCUAAUAGCCCCCUAUUGCUCAAAGUUGAUCCAUAGAAAUAGCUGCAAAUAUAGCUUGAUAAAAAUGCAGACUCUCAGGUCAUGUCUCAGAGCUAUUGAAACCACAUCUUCAUCUGAGCAAGAUCCCAGGUGAUCUGAAUAUACCUGGCAGUUUGGAAAAAAAAAAAAACUGGUAUAUUUUUCCUCUAACCACGGAUGGGAAGAACUGAGGAGAGAAAUGGCUGUAGACACUGGAGUCUAAGCAUAUUAUAUGUCAGUGAUGGCGAACCUUUUAGAUACAAACAGCCCACUGCAUCAUGUGUGCCAUAGGCUCUCCACCACUGCUAUACUCACCUGGUAUGCUAUCCUUGAAAGGGAGGGGUUGGCCACAUUGCAGAAAGGGUGGGCAAGGGGUGAUCGGUUUCUCUUUCUUAUUAACAUGAGACACACAGGCAACUCCACAAGGUGGACUGAGCUAAAUUAUUUCAUCUUGAGUUACUGCAACUAUUAAUAAUAACACUCUUUUGAAUAAUGAAAAACUCAAGCAAAUGUAAAACCAGAGAGGACCAUUCCAGGAAAAUAGGAUGGCAAACAGGAAGGUAUAAUAAUCAGAUCUCCAGUAAAACUGUACCAUGUACAUAUAUAUAUAUUUCUUUUUCAAUGCAGCCACUCUAUAAAAUCCUACACUGUUUUCUUAGCUAUUGUUUGAAAGAUGAAGUCAAUAUUCAUUUAUCUUUUCACUUAAAAAUUUAUUCAUUCUUUUAUUUCAGCACUGAGCUUUACUUAUUUAAGUUAAAAAAAUCUUUAGGGGAGAUCAAUUAAACUCAACCUCAUGUUAAACUUCAAGUGUGUGUGUGUGUGUGUGUGUGUGUAUUAUACUUCAACAAUAAGUCAUAUUUAUGAUUUAAAAAUGUCUUAGAAGCAGAAGAUGAGUUAGUUUUCAAACAGUGAAGCCCCUCUACAAAUACACUAGCUGAAGUAUUCAGGCAAUGAUAUCAUUAAGAGGAAAUUACUGUGCUUCCUCACUAGCUUAAAAUGUAGUACAAUUCUUGAAUAUAUAAAGAUUUUAAACAAUCUUUCCUAAUGAACAUGCACUAUUAACAGAAAUUGCAAAGUUCCACUAACAUUUAACUCAAAUAGAUAGGAGCUUGCCUCUGCCAUUAAGAUAUGUGCUAAAUCAAGCAAAGAGCAGAAUAAGAUUAAAGAAUGCCACAACCAAAAUUUUGUGGUUGAACUAGGCAGCCUGUACUACAAAACUGGGGGAGGGG
rnacentral:lncRNA from 1 species